rnacentral:rRNA from 1 species
GAUGAACGCUGGCGGCGUGCCUAAUACAUGCAAGUCGAGCGAACGGACGAGAAGCUUGCUUCUCUGAUGUUAGCGGCGGACGGGUGAGUAACACGUGGAUAACCUACCUAUAAGACUGGGAUAACUUCGGGAAACCGUAGCUAAUACCGGAUAAUAUUUUGAACCGCAUGGUUCAAAAGUGAAAGACGGUCUUGCUGUCACUUAUAGAUGGAUCCGCGCUGCAUUAGCUAGUUGGUAAGGUAACGGCUUACCAAGGCAACGAUGCAUAGCCGACCUGAGAGGGUGAUCGGCCACACUGGAACUGAGACACGGUCCAGACUCCUACGGGAGGCAGCAGUAGGGAAUCUUCCGCAAUGGGCGAAAGCCUGACGGAGCAACGCCGCGUGAGUGAUGAAGGUCUUCGGAUCGUAAAACUCUGUUAUUAGGGAAGAACAUAUGUGUAAGUAACUAUGCACAUCUUGACGGUACCUAAUCAGAAAGCCACGUCUAACUACGUG